GUCAGUAAGAGAGGCUGACUACUUUCAGGGCAGCAGUAAAGAAGUUCUGAUCAGUUUGGGGGAAUAUAUAGCAGUGUUUGCAGGGUUGCAUCAAUACAGCGUUUGCUGUGUCUGUGUCUGAGUUGGUGGACGUCAGCCAGAUAGGUUUUAAUGGUUGUGUCGUCAUUGUCGUCCUACUUGGGAUGAUGUUGCAGGUUAGAUCCUUGUGAAAUAUUAAUGUGAAUAUGUAACUCUUGAAGCUGGUGUUUCAGAAAUCUGGACAUAUUCACAGAGAAAAAAAUUGAGAGGUUAAUUUUUGAAAGGAGUGCUCUCUAAAGAAUGAUUUUUAAACUUGUGUGUGGAGAAAGAUUUACAGUUCUAAGCUACAAAAUGUAUGUUGAGCAAAAGUAUGAAGCUGCAGCAUGAUGAGAAACCAAUGAAGAGGUGGAAGGAGAACAGUAUCCCACUUUUACUAAGUAGGAGAAAGUUUUAGUGAAGUGAAAACUCUAAUCUGAUAUUGAAGGUGACACAUUGAGAAACAUAGCUUCCUUCUAGCAAGAAGGGAAUUGCUGGUAUAUCUACCAUGAAGCAUUCUUCUCUUACAAGCAUGAAGAGACAUUUCUGGCAGGUAAAUCCAGGUAGAGCUGAGAGUAAAUUAAAUGCAGCUGCAAUUAUGGAGUAUUGCAUUGAGUAUCUUCAGGAACCAGUAGCUGAAGUAGCAGUAUAAAUUUGCAACUUGCUUGAACCCAAAACAGCAUUCAAACAAAGAUAGUGGGUUAACAACAAAAACUUCAAGUAUUUGAUUUCCAAGAAGGAAAUGAGUUUGUUUUGAAAUCUGCUAGGUGUUUCAGUGAUUUGCAGGUGAAAAGGAAGGGAAAAAUAGCUGUAGUCUGCCAUACCUCUCUUGGACUUGUAAAGACCUAGUGAGCAGCUCUCAUGUUGGCUUUUAUCAUUGCCUUUAGUGGUCUUGUGAUUUAUGUCAGUAUAUAGCAAGAUACUAAGUAUCAUCUCUGAAAAUAUUUUUGCUGUUUGGAAAAGCCAUAGAUACUUAAUCUUCAGGCUCAUAAAAAUUCAUUGCUUUAGUUUGUUUAUAUUUGGGCAGUCUUGGGUGCUAGAUACUGCAUCCACUAAUGUGGAAACUUCUGGUUGUAAUAGUAUUUUAAUGUAAGUAGGAUUCUUGUUUUUCUUCCUAUUUAUCAUGUAGGAGCAAUACAGGUAUUUAUAAGAAUGAAAUUUCUUCUAUUAUGGUUCCUGAGUCAGCAACAUAUAUGUUUUAAACAGUAUCCAUUUGAUGGUGAUACAUGUGCUUAACCUUUGAAUUGUAAGAAUAGUCACACUGAAGUCAGUAGAGGUUCAGUGAGUGCAGUGGGAUUGUUGUCGUGUUUAAUCCCAGGGGGCAGCAAGUGCUGUGCAGCUGCUCAAUCAGAUACCCCACUGCCCACAGUGGGCCAGGAAGAAUUAGAAAAAAGAUAAAACCCGUGAGUUAAGAGCAGUUCAGUAAUUUGAAUAAAGUAAAAUAUAGUAAAAAUAAUGGAAAGGGAGAUUACAAAAAGAGAAGAAUAAAACUGGAGGAAGACAAGGGAUGCCCAGUGCAAUUGCUCACCACCUGUUCAUCUGUUCCCAGCUCAUCCCAGCAGCAACCAGCAGCUCCCAGCCAAUCCCCCCAGUUCUGUACUGAGUGUGACAUUCUUUGGGAUGGAACAUCCCUUUGGCCAGUUUGGGUCAGCUGUCCUGGCCAUGCACCCUCCUGCCUUCCUCUUCCUGUGCUCGCUGGCAGAGCAUGGGAAACUAUAAAGUCCUUGACUUAGACUAAGCUGUACCCAGCAACAUCAGUGUGUUAUCAACAUUAUUCUCAGACUGAAUCCAAAACCCAGCCCUGUAUCAGCUACUAGGAAAAAAAAUUAACUCUGUCCCAGCGAAAACCAGGACAAAUGUGUGAAAAAAGUUUGAGCGUGCUUAGUUGAUUAAAACACAUGAAGGUGAAAAAAGGUGUAAACAUAAGAACAUUUAAAGUGUCAUUAUUGGUACCAGUUUCUCAGAAGGCCUGCAUAUGAUUUAAAAAGUGUGUGUGGAGCUUGGGGCUGCUAUGCAAAAAGGAAUCUUAGUAGGCUGGAGAAGUGAAUGUCCUGGCAGGAACCUUUUGAAGCUCAGCUAAGGUAGGUGCCAAGUCCUACACCUGGGAGGAAGUAACUCCAUGCAUCCAUAUGUACAGUCGGGAGACUGGAAACGAAGCAGUCUAGCAGGAAAAGAACUUCAUGACCUAGUGAAAAGCAAGUUGAACGUGAUGGUGGCAAAGAAGCCCAACCACAUACUGGAUUGCAUUAGCAAGAAUAUAGUCAGUGGGUUGUGAGAUGGGGUUCUUCACCUCUGUGCUGUGCUUGAGAGAACGUGUGGUGUUCUGUGUUCAGAUACAUACACAAAUGAACUUGAGCAGAAAAUUGUCAAGGUGGUUAAGGGACUGGAGCACAAGAUGUGUGAGAAGAUGGUGAAAGAGUUGAUGUUGUUGAGAGAGCUAUUGAGAGGGACAUCUUCCUGUUAUCUAUAAAUACCUAGUGAAAGACUCCUGAGAAGAGGCAGACCUGUCUCAGAAGUGCAUGGGAAUGUGAUAAGAGGUGGCAGACUCAAGCUGGAACAUGGGAAAUUCUGACCAGACAGUGGGGAAAAAAAUUAAAUGGUAGUAGUCAAACAUUUCAGCAGCAUGAUCAGCAAGCUUGCAGAAUCUCUGUGCUUGGAGUUGUUCAAAACUCAACAAAUUCUUGAACAACCUGCUCAUAUUGGACCUGCUUUGAGCAGGAGGUAGGGACUAGCAGCCACCCAGCUGUCUCUAUCUGCAUGAUUACAGAAUCUCUAAUAUAAAUUUGUUUUUUAAUUACUGCUUCUGUUUGUCAAAGAAAACAUAAAAGGGUUCCAACUCUGUUGCCACAUCUGGUAAAACCUUUCCCUGUAAACAUAUAGAAGAAUUUUAAAGUAGACCAUUUUUUUAGUUUAAAAGUUUUCACUAUUAUAUGACAAAUUGGAAGCUGGGUUUUUCUGGUAGAUGCAAUGCUGUCAGAGUUUUUAUGUUGAGCGAGUUCUGGUUUGGAACCCUCAAAGUAGAACAAAUACAAGAUUUGUGUUACUUCUUUAAGCUUAAUUUCUCUGAAAUGAUGUUUGUGAGAUCUUUAGUACAUUGCCAAAAAUAAUUUUGUCUGCUGUGUUUUUAGCCAUGCCUACAGUUAUAGGCAAGACAGGGUUUAGACCUGUGUCCUAUAACUGCGUAAAAAGAAUAGCGAAAUGCCGUUACUGUGCAUCUUUUGUUUUCUUAAUCCUAUCUGGGGUAUGUUGGUUAUAUCUUCUAGUUUGUACUGGGAAAUAGUGGAGAAUGGUUCUGUAUGUCUUUGCCAUCAAACAAGUUUGUCCAUAAGUGGUGAGAAAACUGCAUAUAAUUCUCACAUCUGGGAUAUUUCAGAGUUAUUAGGUUUAUUUAUAGUUAACGCCCCUUUACCUGAACCAUAUAGCUGUUUCUCAAGUUCUGUUAAUAUAAUACCAGUGCACCUUUAGGAUCAGUAUUAUGUAGAUACUAAUCAGUACUAGUAUUAGGAAUACUGCUUAAGUCUGUUAUUUAAAAUAUACAAUGUGAGUGAUCAUUUGACCAGAUUUAUGAGUUUGCUAAGUACUGGUAGUGGGGAUAUUUGUGCAGGGCUAGAUCUAUUGCUUUUUCCUGUGUCACUUGGUGACUUUUUAAAUGUUAUUGUGUAUCCAAUUGGGCCCAGAUUUUUAGUGAGUGGUCUACACAUCAGUGGGCAGAAUCCUAACGAUUUUGGGAGUAAGUGGAAAACAGAAAAACUUAAGUCUGCAUUGGAGUCAGACUCAUUUGCUUGUUUUUGGUAAUGCCAUAAAAACCUGAGGAAGGAGGGCAGUCCCUGGUUACAGGAGUGGAUUAGUCAGUUUAGGAUGAGGAGAUAGAUUGCAGCUGAUGAUGGUACCCUCUGAUAGCAGCCCUCUGGACCUAAAGCAGUGCUAAAAAUUAACCAAUCCUUUACCAAUUCCAGUCUUGCAUUCAUUCUUCUGUGCUUGU